CAAUUAUCCAGAGCAGACGGAGGGAUUUGGCCCGCUGAUGUCUCGGCAGCGGGCCAUCAGGCACUGUGCCAAUUCCAACAAGCAGAUGCUUGAACGAUAAUCC
rnacentral:ncRNA from 2 species